rnacentral:rRNA from 1 species
AGGACGAACGCUGGCGGCGUGCUUAACACAUGCAAGUCGAGCGGAAAGGCCCUUCGGGGUACUCGAGCGGCGAACGGGUGAGUAACACGUGAGUAAUCUGCCCCUAGCUCUGGGAUAGCUCCGGGAAACCGGGAUUAAUACCAGAUACGACCACUUUAGACAUCUUCUGUGGUGGAAAGAACUUCGGCUAGGGAUGAACUCGCGGCCUAUCAGCUUGUUGGUGAGGUAACGGCUCACCAAGGCGACGACGGGUAGCCGGCCUGAGAGGGCGACCGGCCACACUGGGACUGAGACACGGCCCCAGACUCCUACGGGAGGCAGCAGUGGGGAAUAUUGCGCAAUGGCGAAAGCCUGACGCAGCGACGCCGCGUGGGGGAUGAAGGCCUUCGGUUGUAAACCCCUUUCAGCAGGGACGAAGCGAAAGUGACGGUACCUGCAGAAGAAGCGCCGGCUAACUACGUGCCAGCAGCCGC